AUUGAACGCUGGCGGCAUGCCUUACAAAUGCAAGUCGAACGAGUGGCGAACGGGUGAGUAAUACAUCGGAACGUGCACAGGCGUGGGGGAUAACUACUCGAAAGAGUAGCUAAUACCGCAUACGAUUGGAGCGGCCGAUGGCAGAUUAGGGAGUUGGUGGGAUACAAGCUUACCAAGCCGACGAUCUGUAGCUGGUCUGGGAGGCCGACCAGCCACACUGGGACUUAGACCCGGCCCAGACUCCUACGGGAGGCAGCAGUGGGUAAUUUUGGACAAUGGGCGAAAGCCUGAUCCAGCAAUGCCGCGUGCAGGAUGAAGGCCUUCGGGUUGUAAACUGCUUUUGUACGGAACGCGUUACCGUACGAAUAAGCACCGGCUAACUACGUGCCAGCAGCCGCGGUAAUUC
rnacentral:rRNA from 1 species